rnacentral:hammerhead_ribozyme from 1 species
GCGCUGCUGAGGGGUCCCAAAACAGGACGAAACGGCUGUCCAACAC